CUAGAAUGUAUUUGAAAAUGCAACACCUACAUUACUGGUUAUCUGUCAAGUUGUCAUUCUUGAACGUUUCAGUGGAAUCUACUCUACAGGAGGCUACUGGCCCAGGGUGGCACACAUGGACAGGAGGAGCGCAAUGUGAUCCCACACCUGAGACGUGGAGCUGCCCUUGACCAGCCAGUCGUUGAGAUAGGGGAAGAUCUGAACCCCAUGACAUCUGAGGGCCUUGCCACUGAACGGAAGGUCCUGCAAGGAAUUCUGUGCCUCGCUGGAUAGCCCCAACAGCAGAAGCCACGAAGCCCUCCUCCUGGACACCAUGGAGGCCACAGACCUUGCAGCCGUAUCUGUACCAUCCAACGCUGCCUGCAAGGUCGCCCUGGCAGCCGCUGUACCCUCCUCUACCAGAGCCUUGAACUCCUCCAGUAGCGUGACAAGAAGGGAGUCCUCAAAUUUGGGCAGAGAGCACCAUAAACUGAACUCAUACCGUCCCAGGAGGGCCUGAUGGUUUGCCACCCUUAACUGGAAGCUUGAGGACAAAUAAACCUUUCUCCCGAAUAA